rnacentral:rRNA from 1 species
GACGAACGCUGGCGGCGUGCUUAACACAUGCAAGUCGAACGAUGAACCCGGAGCUUGCUCCGGCGGAUUAGUGGCGAACGGGUGAGUAACACGUGAGUAACCUGCCCUUGACUCUGGGAUAACUGCGGGAAACUGUAGCUAAUACCGGAUACGACACUCGGCGGCAGCGCCAGGGGGUGGAAAGAAUGUCGGUCAAGGAUGGGCUCGCGGCCUAUCAGCUAGUUGGUGAGGUAACGGCUCACCAAGGCGACGACGGGUAGCCGGCCUGAGAGGGUGACCGGCCACACUGGGACUGAGACACGGCCCAGACUCCUACGGGGGGCAGCAGUGGGAAUAUUGCACAAUGGGCGCAAGCCUGAUGCAGCAACGCCGCGUGAGGGAUGACGGCCUUCGGGUUGUAAACCUCUUUUAGUAGGGAAGGAGCGAAAGUGACGGUACCUGCAGAAAAAGCACCGGCUAACUACGUGCCAGCAGCCGCCGUAA